CCAAACUUAGAGUCCUUGCUCAGCUACCAUGUUGGGAUCACUCCUAGCCAUGGAGAAAUUGGAGGUGGUUUCACUGGCCUGGAGAUGAGGGGAACUUUAUCUCAUUAGAAGGUGGACAAAAGUAUUCUGACCCAGACAGAGCUGAUGCACCAUGCCCAAGAGAUGCCCCCUUCAAUCACUUGUCAAACUGAUGGGCUGACUGUGCUCCAAAAACCAGAUUUACCUGGGCAGUCAUGGUCCCCAGUCACCACCAUUGGAUCCCUUUUCUGCUUCUGAGCCCUGUCUGCUUCUGAAGUGGGGAUGAAACUGUGUCCUGGGACCCUGAGAAGCUGAAUAUGCACCUGAUUUCUUUAUUUCUUCUCCUAGAUUAUUUCUGAGCAUGCCAUGCAGACAGGUUUGCAUUCAUAAGGCAAAGGGAGCUCAACAAUACUUGGUUGUUAGUGGUGCCAUCUCCCCUCAAAGUUAAAAUUUUAUUUUACUUGAAUAUAACAGGACAGCUACAAAAUAAUCUUACCUAUUCCUUUUCAAUACUGGGAUGACAGAAAUAUCUGGAGGAAUGUAUUAUUGGAGGUCCUUGUCAGAAUGUUCAAGGGACAUUGUGGUUAAAGUGACAUCUUCUGAAGGAGGAACAAAGAUGUGGACAAAAAAAGAAAAGUUGAAGCUGUACUUGAGAUCCUUCUUGAACUUCACAUUUGCCAAGGAAGUCAGGGAAAAUAAGCUUAGAAUUUUUUUUCCUGAUUACUACAGACAUUCUCAGCCUGUGGCUACUAUAGGAAAACCAUUUUUCUCCAUCUACCACCGUUACAUUUCACAGAGUAUCACAGUCAGUAGAAAGAUUAAAUAAACAGAGAUACCACAUACAAACACAUUUUUACUAUUAUAAUUCUCUG